rnacentral:tRNA from 1 species
ACACUGGUGGCUCAGUGGUAGAAUGCUCGCCUUCCAUGCCGGAGACCCAGGUUCAAUUCCCGGCCAAUGCA